AGCUCCAAUAGCGUAUAUUAACUUUGUUGCAGUUAAAAAGCUCGUAGUUGGAUUUGUGGCAGUCUCGAGCGGCCCGGCACUUGUGCCGGUGCUUGCUUGGGUCGCCAUCCUUGGGUGGAACCUGUGUGGCAUUAGGUUGUCGUGCAGGGGAUGCCCAUCAUUUACUGUGAAAAAAUUAGUACGCUUCAAGUAGGCUUAUGCCGUUGAAUAUGUUAGCAUGGAAUAAUAAGAUAGGACCUUGGUACUAUUUUGUUGGUUUGCGCACCAAGGUAAUGAUUAACAGGGACAGUUGGGGGUAUUCGUAUUCCAUUGUCAGAGGUGAAAUUCUUGGAUUUUUGGAAGACGAACUACUGCGAAAGCAUUUACCAAGGAUGUUUUCAUUAAUCAAGAACGAAAGUAC
rnacentral:rRNA from 1 species